AGGCGCCGGGCCUGCCGGCCAGCACUUGCAUAACGCGACCUGACUCACCGCCGCCCGGGGCAGGGAGGGUCCCUUUGGGCGGGAGCCUCACCUCCGGGGCCGCCGCGGGCGGUGGAGCUGCCGCGCGGGGUGGCCUCGGCCGAGCCGCGGAUACAAGCCCUGGCCUGGUCACCCGGCACUCGUGCCAGCGACCGCCAGCUGCGGCCUGGGGUGGCCUCGGGGCCCGGUGGCUCUGGCUGCAGGCGCAGAAACGAACCCUGGUCAGAGCAGGAAAUACUUGAGCAACCUCGGUGGUCGCCUACUUACUCUGUGGCACUUUGCUCAAACCGCUUUGAAACACGUCUACCAAUUGUUUAUGAUGCAAUUUUAUUUCAAAGCCAUAGUGGAAUUUUGUUUUGUCUUCAAAAUACCUAAGUUAGCGUUCCUCGCAUGGGUCAAAGAAGUCAGAGGAUGCAGCAUUUGAUUGAAUAAAAGUUAGUGGUGUGUCGAAGAAGCAGGCGCCUUCCUAGAACUCUCUGGACAUCCACCUGCCUGGUUCUCUGCUUCCACCUGCCACCUUGCCCUCCAUCCCUGCCUCCUCCCCCAACUUGACUCUUUAGGGUGUCUCUGGAGAGCCAAUAAUGAUGCAUUUAACUCCUUACUGCCCCAGAGGGAGGAAAGCCCUGUUCUGGCCAGCCGGCUACUUAGGAGAUGUUCUGGUUAGGCCAGUUUUAUCACAGGACAAAUCAUCCCAAAUAGCUCAAAUAAGAGCUGCCCCUGCAGGGCCCGUGUGGGGCGAGGUACACGUGGCAGUGUAUGUGCACCCUGGGUGGGAAAUGACUUUCGGGCAUCUUUCUCCUGUCCAAUCAGUGCUUGGACCCCCUCCUCAACAUUCCAGAGUCAAGCCCUUCCAGCUUCUUCUCCAACAGGUCCAGUGAUGGAGGGAGAGCUCUUGGCCGAGUGUAACUGCCCUUGGAUGGUUAUUACUACCAGAAAAGUUCUCCCAGGAACCGCAUCCCUUUCAUCUGUUUCCCCUAGAACAUGUGCUGGCGGUCCUUGCACACGCUACGUGCUGAAUAAAUGCAGGGAAUUUCAGCGCACCGUAUGGCGAUUGUUUCUGCAACAUGUUUUUUCAUGUGUUAGAUGUGUAAGAGGUGCUGUAACUGUUCCUUCUCCUCUCUCUCUUUUAUUGAUUUGUCGUGAACCUUGGUGUCCCAGAUACCAGCAAAGAAAAACAGUUUAUUUUGGCAUUCUCUCUCAAAUUUCUUCCUGACUGCAAAUAGGUGAAUACAGGUCAACUGAUGUUUUUAACAUCGGUGCUCUGAAAUUUGUCCUCAUAAAGUAAUUUUUUUCAAAUAUGCGUGUAUCUAUAUAAUAAAAACAGGAAAAGAUGUUCAUGGUGAUUACCUCUGUGUGAUAGGAUUAAGGACAUUUGAAGGUUGUUUUUGUUUUUGUUUUUUGAUUUGUACCUUUUUGUACUUUCCAAAGUUUCCUAGAGUGAAAAUGUUUAAUCAGAAAACAAAACAAAUAUUCUCAUUACAAACAUUUUUCUCCCUCCCCCCGGAAGUAAAGUUAUGUUUUAAAUUAUGGAUCAUAGAUGAUAUACACAAAAGUUCAUUUGCUGCCAUACUUCAUGGAAAAGGCAGACCAUGAGUCUUUCAUCUUGGUAUCUGCCCCUCCCCCAACUUUUCCAUGAGAUUUAUUAAGAGACUUUCACUUAGUAGGUACUCACUUAACAGACCUUGACUUCAUUUGUUUUAUUGAAAUGAAUCACUUCAUAAAAGAUUUAUUUAAAAAGACUUGGCCAGAGGUCAUUCUUUCUACAGUAUAAUUUCUCAGGAUUCAGCGCUUAUCACAGAGGUGGGAGCUAGUCUUCCAGCAAAAAAUGUGCAUUCCUCUUCCAUGGUGGAGAGUUGUGGAGAAGAGACUUUUUUGCCAGAAGGCACCUCCCCACUUCCUGUAGCUCCAUAAAGCCACAUGCCUAAGUCUGGUGGAUGGAAUGUGGACAAAAGUGCUGUGUGUCAGUCCCAGACAGGGCUUGUAAAAGCUGCCUGUCCAAUCAUCCGUGCCGUCUCUCUUCCCUCAUCUGCCAGCCGGCAGAGACGCCACAACCCGGGACCCCACCAGUGACUAACUUUUUGUGAAUGAAAAAUAAACUUCCGUUGGGGUAAGCUGCUGAGAUUUGGGGGGUUUACCUGUAACAGAAUAGUGUAACCUUAAUGAAUACAGCAACAAGCAAGUCACUAGCUCCUAGGAAAUAUGGAAAGAUGUUUUACCAUAAUUGAAAGAAAAGCUAAGGCAAAGAACUUUAUGUCCUUACCCUCGUAACAAUUAAGCAUUUCAAACCAACUCCAUUUCAUGCAAACUGACAUUUACAUCCACAUCCUGACAGAAAGGCCGAGGAAAAUGAAAAACAAGGAAAUUGGGUAGCGUUUAUCUUCUGACUACAUUUAAAAGAUGCCAAAAUAAUUGGUGGGAAAAUGAAAAGAUUAUUCGGCCAACUUUUUCAGGUGCAAAGGGUCAAACUGAUUUUUUCAACAGGUUUCUUUUCAGUGGUUACAAAGUCAUCAGUCAGUGUCCUCAAUUUAGGUGAAAAUAACAUGGAUCCCACCAAGUGAACUAUUCCUGAGACACCUGGUCCCACCCAUCAAUUCGGUGUGUACAGAGAUUCCUGUGAGCAGAUGUGUAAGGUGAAAGGAGCCCUCUGCACUUGGCUGCCCGGAUGUAACUGAAAUCCCUGCCUUUGGGGGGUGCCUUUUGGUGAUGACCAAUAGUGGGAACAGAGAACCUGGCUGAGGUGGAACUGAAGAGUGUGUUCAGUAUAAUGAUCUGAAACGUACUUGGUUAAUCCAGGGUAUUGUUGCUAGUUUUGUGUGGGUGCUUCAAUCUCAUGUGCAUAUGAUUUGGCUAUUAUAUAAGCACCACUUCCUGUAGAAAUAAGUCAACUGCAGUAGAAAAUGUUAGCAACAAUAGAAGUAUUACAUCUGUUUAUUAGUAUAGUAUACUACUGAGAAACGCAAACUUGUUAAGCAGAAAGUUUAAGGAAGUGAAACCAUUCUUUUGUACAUCUGUAGGCUUUUAAAAGAGUUCCUGGAAUUUUUAUUUAACUUUUUCUUAAAUUGGUGUUUAAUAACAUUUUCAUAUAUAUAUAUAUGUGUGUGUGUGUGUGUGUGUGUGUGUGUAUAAUUCCUUAAAGGAAGUGUCUUUGUAUAUUCCCCUACAGCAGCUAGUAUGAGGUCUUGUGUACCAGUGGGUACACUUUUUCAUUUAAUCCUAUUUAAACUGGCAGUUUGGGGGUAGGUCACUAUCCUUACUAGCUGUGUGACCUUGAGCUAGUUAACUUAAUUUCUCUGUGCUUCAAUUUCUCGCCUGUAAAAUACAGACAAUCACAGUACCUACCUCCUUAAGUUCUUGUAAGAAUUAAAUGAGUUAAUAUAUGUAAGGGUCUUAGAAGAGUACCUGGCACCGAUUAUAUAUUAUAAUGUUAGCUAUUCUUAUGAUCACUUUUUUAUUGUCAAUACCUUGCGGCUUAUAUUUCUAAAAUUAUUCUGAGUAAGUGGAAUGUUGCUUUCACAUUGACCUAGUUGUUGCUUCAGAGAUGUUUUAUCUAAAUAAAUGAUAAUUAAUGUCUGUAAUAUCUUAGAAAUGUUGACAUAAAAAUUAAACAAUGAAGUUCAACAAAGUCAACAAGUAUUGUGUAGUAUUAAAACCUCAGGGGUGCCUGCGUGGCUCAGUCAGUUAAGUGUCUGACUCUUGAUUUCGGCUCAUGUCAUGAUCUCACCACUUGUGAGUUUGACCCCCGCAUCAGGCUUUGUGCUGACAGUGCACAGCCUGCUUGGGAUUCACUCUCUCUCUGCCCCUCCCCCCGCCUCAAAAAUAAAAUAAGCAUUUAAAAAAAUUUUUAAUUCAUUCUAAGUAGUAUGUUUGGUGAUUUAAAAAAAUAUUGUUAUUUUCUUACAUUUGUUUUUUUCAGUGCCUUGUACUGAGCAGCCAAUAAGUAACACAAAGUUCUUGUCAGCACUGGCCAGGGACUCUGCAGGAACCACCCUGAGCAAGAAGGGCAGUGGAGACAAUAGGACUUGGUCAAAGACAGCAGGAGAGAGAUAGGCAGGCUUUCAGAAUUUCCCUUAAAAAAAAAAAUCUUUGUAUAAAAUGCCAUGCAGUACUCAAAGUAGUCCCCAGUGACCCCUCUUUCCUUGCUUGCUUUUUUCUUAAGUUUAUUUAUUUUGAGUUGGGGGGAAGGAAAGGGCAGAGAGAGAGGGAGAGAGAGAAACCCAAGCAGGCUCUGCAUUGUCAGCACAGAGCCCAACACGGGGCUCGAUCUCACGAACUGUGAGAUCAUGACCUGGCUGAAAUCAAGAGUCGGACAUUUAACUGACAGCCCUUCAGGUGCCCCUCACUUGCUUUUUCUAACUUAAACAAUUGCCUGCUCCUGUCAAUUGAUGCCUAGAAUUGGGUCUCACAGUUUUUCAUUCCCAAGCAACCUCACCCAUAGCCUAUGAAAAUAACCUUAAAAAUUUUGUCUAUUGGGGUGCCUGGGUGGCUCAGUUGGCUAAGCCUCAGACUUUGGCCUAGGUCAUGAUCUCGUGGUUUGUGAGUUUCAGUCCCAUGUUGGGAUCUAUGCUGACCGCUCAGAGCCUGGAGCCUGUUUUGGAUUCUGUGUGUCUCUCUCUCUGUCCCUCCCUGCUCACACUCUUGCUUUCUCUCAAAACCAAGUAAACAUUAAAAAAAAUUUUUUUUAACUUUACGAAUGCAUGAAUUUAUUACACAAAUUAUAUAUGUUCAUUAUAGACACUUGAGAAAAAUCAUAUAGGCAAAAAAAAGUUUAAUGUGAUAAAUCCCAUCACUUUGAAAUAAUCACUGUUACCAUGCUGGUAUACACACCUCCAUGCAUGUGUAUAUAAGUGGAAUUGUAUGGCAAAACUAUCUUGCAGUUUACUACAUAUCGUAAAUACUUCUUCAUAUCAAUAAACAGGCCUUUACAGUAGGGUUAUUAAUAAAUGUAGUUUCUAUUCUGUGGAUACAAUGCCAUUUACUUACUCAAACUCUUAUUGUUGAAUAUCUAUUUUUGAUCUUUUACUUUUAUAUUUGUACUUUUCAUGAACACCUUGUAACAACAUUAAUCACAUACAAUCUUAAUUAUUUUUGCAAGAUAAAUUCAUAAAAGCAGAAUUGCAGGGUCAAAGCCUAUACACAUUUUUAGAGUAUUUGAUAAUGAACAAAAUGCAAUAAAGCUGCUUACUCUGUAUCCCUUUGUCCAGUAUUUCUUUCCUGCACCUCAUCUUUCUAAGCACUACUAGAUUAGAUUUGUGGAAAAGUACCCUCAUAAUGUUUUUUCCUGCCCCCCAAACUUACCCGGGUUCAAAAUCCUCAGCCUCGUCUCUGAGACUCCUGUAAUCUGAGCCCAACCUGCCUUUUCAUAUUCAGCUCUCACUCUUCCCCGUUACUCUACACCCCAUGCUAUUGCUCCUGUUGUGACUACCAUCUGGAACACACUCGAUUUCCUCCCCAUCUCCACCCAUUAAUCCCUUUUCUGAACUCUCAUAGCCAUACGUAUGUACCUCAUUUCUGGCAUUUAUCAUGCUCUGUUCCAUGUCUUACAACUCUUUAUGUAUUACUUUUAACUCCCGUAUUAUACCACAAGUGUGUGUGAAAUUGGGAUCAAGACUUACUUGUUGCCUGCAUCCCCCCUGAGUAGAAGUGUAACAGUCAGGAUUGAUUUGGAUGUGCUGCAGUAACAAAUAGCCCUCAUCUCUCAGAGCUAAAAACAAAAAAGGUUUAUUCCUCACUCAUGCUACAUGUCCCAUCUCAGGUCAGAAGGAGGCUCUGUUCCAGGACAUCCUCACUUGGAAUCAGGAGGCCCCUCCAGCUGGAACUGAUGUGGCACCAGGAAAAUGGAGAGUAGAGGGUCUUAAGCUGGCAAUUAAUCGUUCUUACCUGAAAGAGACAUUUCUGCCCACAACCCAUAGGCAAAGUUGAUCACGUGGCCCUAUAGGGGAGGAGGGCAGGAAAGAAUAACCUCAUAUAACGAGGAGGAGGAGAGAAUAAGAAGAGGGGGAACAUGAAGUCUCUACCACGGAGGCUAAUAUGGUGGCUUGUGAUGGACAAUCAAUAGACAUGUUGAAAGAAUGAGCAAAUCACAAAUCAGGAGUAAUUAUAAAAGCAAAAAUAAAGAAUAGUAGCAAUAAUAGAAUGUGUUUCAUUUUUAAAUUAAUUUUUAUUUUUAUAAGUAGAGGAAUGUUAACAUCUGUGGGUAUUUCGUUUUUCCUAUUAAGUAUGUAUCUGCAUAUGGAAUAUAGAUAUGUGUUUUUUCCUCUCUGCUUAUGAGGGAAGGAUGGAACUAGGGAACUGUGAGUACACAACAUACUUUUGGUAGAAGUUGGAGCUGUGCCUUAGGCACACAAAAGAACUAGGUAGUGUUAUGCCCAGAAUCUGUGAUUCCCAAA